ACGUUAGUAGUGCAUCGGAUAGAGCACGCGCUCUCGGAAAGAGUGAGGCGCGGGUUCUAGUCCCGUUUGACGUG